rnacentral:tRNA from 1 species
GUCCGGUUAGCUCAGUCGGUUGAACAUGGGAGUCUUAAUCCCAGGGUCGUGGGUUCGAGCCCCACAUCGGGCG